rnacentral:rRNA from 1 species
CUACGGGUGGCAGCAGUGGGGAAUAUUGCGCAAUGGGCGAAAGCCUGACGCAGCAACGCCGCGUGAGUGAUGAAGGCCUUCGGGUCGUAAAGCUCUGUCGGGAGGGAAGAACACCUUCGGGUCUGACGGUACCUCCCGAGGAAGCACAGGCUAACUCCGUGCCAGCAGCCGCGGUAAUACGGAGUGUGCAAGCGUUGUUCGGAAUUACUGGGCGUAAAGCGCGCGUAGGCGGCUUGAUAAGUCAGAUGUGAAAUCCCUCGGCGUAACCGAGGAACUGCAUUUGAAACUGUCAGGCUUGAGUACGGGAGGGGGAAGCGGAAUUCCCAGUGUAGAGGUGAAAUUCGUAGAUAUUGGGAGGAACGCCAGCGGCGAAGGCGGCUUCCUGGACCGAUACUGACGCUGAGGCGCGAAAGCGUGGGGAGCAAACAGGAUUAGAUACCCCCGUAGUC